rnacentral:rRNA from 1 species
UAGGGAAUCUUCGGCAAUGGACGAAAGUCUGACCGAGCAACGCCGCGUGAGUGAAGAAGGUUUUCGGAUCGUAAAACUCUGUUGUUAGAGAAGAACAAGGACGUUAGUAACUGAACGUCCCCUGACGGUAUCUAACCAGAAAGCCACGGCUAACUACGUGCCAGCAGCCGCGGUAAUACGUAGGUGGCAAGCGUUGUCCGGAUUUAUUGGGCGUAAAGCGAGCGCAGGCGGUUUCUUAAGUCUGAUGUGAAAGCCCCCGGCUCAACCGGGGAGGGUCAUUAGAAACUGGGAGACUAGAGUGCAGAAGAGGAGAGUGGAAUUCCAUGUGUAGCGGUGAAAUGCGUAGAGAUAUGGAGGAACACCAGUGGCGAAGGCGGCUCUCUGGUCUGUAACUGACGCUGAGGCUCGAAAGCGUGGGGAGCAAACAGG